UUGGGGAUAAGAUUUCAAAUUUUGAAAAAUAAAUAAAUUUAAAUUUUUCAAAAGAUAAAAUGCUAUUUUGGUCAUUUUAGUUUUUGAGUGCUAUUUUUGUGAUAUAAACUUAGAAAGGUGCUAUUUUGGAGAUUUGCCUUUAUAAUAAUGACAUUAUGCAUACUAUUUUCAAUUCAUUAAGAAUACUUUUGUAAUUGACUACUCUCAAAUUAACAUGAAAAUUACACAUAGGAAACUAACUUCUUAUAUAAUAUUAGAGAGAUAUAAAGACAUGAUUUUUUGAAAUGGCUUAGGGCAUUAUAAUAUGUUAGACCGGCACUGCCUCUACUUCAUUUUACUUGUUUUUCAUGCAAUAGUGUAAGUUGGUUAGAAAUGCUAAAUAUGUGAAAUUGAAAUCAUCGUCCAUUUUGUGUGUGUUUUUAAAUAUCUUUGGAUUAAUUGAUUUCAUUUCCUUUUAUUAUUAAUUUAAUUUAAUUUUAUUCAUUUUUAAAAUGGUUGAUGGUUGAUUUAUAUUAUUAAAAAUAUUUUGUUUCCACUUUUAAUCUUUUGAUCUAAACGUAUAUAUAGAAAAUAUUUUUGGUUGUUUUAUUUUAUUAUUUAAGGUAAAAUAUUUUAAAAAUUAACUUCUUUAAACAAUAUAUUCAUUAUUAGUUAUUAAAUAAAAUAUCGAAAUUAUAUAUAUAUAUAUAUAUAUAAUUUCCAUAUUUUAGUAGUUUAAGAAAAAAUUAUGAUAAAAAGAAGGAAAUGAAAAACAAAAAAUUAUUAAACAAAAGAAAAUAAAAUACAAAAAUUAGAAUAAUGACAUUAUGCAUAAUAUUUUCAAUUCAUUAAGAAUACUUUUGUAAUUGACUACUCUAAAAUUAACAUGAAAACUACACAUAGGAAACUAACUUCUCAAAUAAUAUUAUAGAGAUAUAAAGGCAUAAUUUUUUGAAAUGGCUUAGGACAUUAUAAUAUGUUAGACCGGCACUGCCUCUACAUCAUUUUACUUGUUUUUCAUGCAAUAGUGUAAGUUGGUUAGAAAUGCUAAGUAUGUGAAAUUGAAAUCAUCGUCCAUUUUGUGUGUGUUUUUAAAUCUCUUUGGAUUAAUUGAUUUCAUUUCCUUUUAUUAUUAAUUUAAUUUAAUUUUAUUCAUUUUUAAAAUGGUUGAUGGUUGAUUUAUAUUAUUAAAAAUAUUUUGUUUCCACUUUUAAUCUUUUGAUCUAAACAUAUAUAUAGAAAAUAUUUUUGGUUGUUUUAUUUUAUUAUUUAUUAUAUUAUUUAAGGUAAAAUAUUUUAAAAAUUAUCUUCUUUAAAAAAUAUAUUCAUUAUUAGUUAUUAAAUAAAAUAUCGAAAUUAUAUAUAUAUAUAUAUAUAUAUAUAUAAUUUCCACAUUUUAGUAGUUUAAGAAAACAUUAUGAUAAAAAAAACGAAAUUAAAAACAAAAAAUUAUUAAACAAAAAGGAAAAUAAAAUAAAACAUUAUAAUAAUGACAUUAUGCAUAAUAUUUUCAAUUCAUUAAGAAUACUUUUGUAAUUGACUACUCUAAAAUUAACAUGAAAACUACACAUAGGAAACUAACUUCUUAAAUAAUAUUAUAGAGAUAUAAAGACAUAAUUUUUUGAAAUGGCUUAGGACAUUAUAAUAUGUUAGACCGGCACUGCCUCUACUUCAUUUAACUUGUUUUUCAUGCAAUAGUGUAAGUUGGUUAGAAAUGCUAAGUAUGUGAAAUUGAAAUCAUCGUCCAUUUUGUGUGUGUUUUUAAAUCUCUUUGGAUUAAUUGAUUUCAUUUCCUUUUAUUAUUAAUUUAAUUUAAUUUUAUUCAUUUUUAAAAUGGUUGAUGGUUGAUUUAUAUUAUUAAAAAUAUUUUGUUUCCACUUUUAAUCUUUUGAUCUAAACAUAUAUAUAGAAAAUAUUUUUGGUUGUUUUAUUUUAUUAUUUAAUGUAAAAUAUUUUAAAAAUUAUCUUCUUUAAACAAUAUAUUCAUUAUUAGUUAUUAAAUAAAAUAUCAAAAUUAUAUUUAUAUAUAUAUAUAUAUAUAUAUAUAUAUAAUUUCCAUAUUUUAGUAGUUUAAGAAAAAAUUAUGAUAAAAAGAAGGAAAUUAAAAACAAAAAAUUAUUAAACAAAAAGGAAAAUAAAAUAAAAAAAUUAUAAUAAUGACAUUAUGCAUAAUAUUUCCAAUUCAUUAAGAAUACUUUUGUAAUUGACUACUCUAAAAUUAACAUGAAAACUACACAUAGGAAACUAACUUCUCAAUUAAUAUUAUAGAUAUAUAAAGGCAUAAUUUUUUGAAAUGGCUUAGGGCAUUAUAAUAUGUUAGACCGGCAUUGCCUCUACUUCAUUUUACUUGUUUUUCAUGCAAUAGUGUAAGUUGGUUAGAAAUGCUAAGUAUGUAAAAUUGAAAUCAUCGUCCAUUUUGUGUGUGUUUUUAAAUCUCUUUGGAUUAAUUGAUUUCAUUUCCUUUUAUUAUUAAUUUAAUUUAAUUUUAUUCAUUUUUAAAAUGGUUGAUGGUUGAUUUAUAUUAUUAAAAAUAUUUUGUUUCCACUUUUAAUCUUUUGAUCUAAACAUAUAUAUAGAAAAUAUUUUUGGUUGUUUUAUUUUAUUAUUUAUUAUAUUAUUUAAGGUAAAAUAUUUUAAAAAUUAUCUUUUUUAAACAAUAUAUUCAUUAUUAGGUAUUAAAUAAAAUAUCGAAAUUAUAUAUAUAUAUAUAUAUAAUUUCCAUAUUUUAGUAGUUUAAGAAAACAUUAUGAUAAAAAAAAAGGAAAUUAAAAGCAAAAAAUUAUUAAACAAAAAGGAAAAUAAAAUAAAAAAUUAUAAUAAUGACAUUAGGGGAAUUGCCACUAAUACCACUUUGCUAAUACCACUUUUCAACUUUACACUUUUCAACUUUACCAUUAAAAUUUUAAUAGACAAAGUACAAUUAUACCCUUGAAUAAUUAAACCUAAAUUACUCACUUUCUCCCCCAAUUCUAAAUCUGAGAGUUCCCAGAUUGAUUUCGAAUUCGACGGUGAUCAAAUCCGACGACACUGACGAGUUCUUCGGACGGCGCUGGCGAGUUCUCCGGCGGAUUUGACGGCGCUGACGAAUUCUCCGACGAAGCUAAAAAACUCUACAAGCUCAGGUGAAAAAGACGAUCUGUCACUUUCUCCUUCAUUGAGAAAUAAUGACGAUGGCGACGAGCGUUGAUUCGCUUCUGGAGAAGCUCAAACAGGAGGAGCUUUACCUUUCCACCAAGUAAUUGGGAGUCCUUACAUUCUCAGAGCCGCCAAUUUCCUCCUCCAACUCGUGCUUCUCCUCUAUCUUCUUCCUUUGUCUCUGAAUUAAGCUUGGUUAGGUUGGUGUUGAAUGCCCUGCAAGGUGUUGAGUCUUCUCUUAUUAGCAUACAUAAGCUCUCUUAUGUAUUAUGCUCUCAGCCAGCUGAUAGGACAACCUACCAAAGUCUGAGCUUGUGGCAUCGGUUAUCAAGCACUGACGCCUUGGGACAGAUUCUUUGAAACAUAUGAUGCUUUGGUUCUUUGGUCUUUCUUCUCCAUAACUUCGUAGACCCAUUUCAUAAACUUCAAGUUGGAAGUUGUGGGACAGGGGGAGCUGUAAAGUAGGUGAAAAUGAAGAAGCCAAUAACAAGAGCUGCUAUACUCUUGUUAAUCAGGCUUUUGCUAUUGCUGUGAGAAAGGUCUUAGAAGGCUAUAUAUCUGUUCUGGAUACAUUAUGUGCAUCUGCAGAACUGAGGCGUUCAUCUAACAUUGUGGUAUUGUAAACCCAUUAUAAUUUUUUAUAAACCAUUAUAAAUUCAGAAACCCCAAGUAUCUCUCAAUGAAUCAUCUCAAUACUCAAUUAUACCUUUUUAUAAGGCCUUAUAAAAGAAACUGUAAAAGAAUGAUGUUCUUUAAUAAGCAAAGAAAUGGUGGAAAGUUGGUUAAUUUGGUGAUUUAUAAACUCUUAUAAAUAGAUUUAUAAACCUUGUAAAUUAAUUUAUGAACACUUAUAAAUAAAUGUAAAAACUCUUAUAAAUAGCUUAUAAGUUCUUGUAAAUAGUUUUAUAAACUCUUUUAAUAGCUUUAUAAAUAUUUAUAUAUGUUUUAAAAACUUUAUAGAUGGUUGAUACAAGGUUUUAUAAGCUCUUAUAAAAUUUAUAAGUGAUUUUAUAAAGGUAAUCCGCUUGAGGUAUUUAUUACAAUUUUUAUAUUUAUAAGGCCUUAUAAAAGAAACCGUAAAACAAUAUAUAUAUUUAGCCCUAUGUUUUUAUGUUUUCAGAGGGAAACACAAUUUUCAAGAAGAUUGGAGUUGCAGAAAGAGAGAGAAGACACAUGUUUUUAUAUGUAAUAUAUAUGUUCUUGACACAUAUAAGAGAAACAAGACACAUGUCUUUCUGUAAUAUAUAUGUGUAACACGUGUUCUUAUAAGUGAUUGUAAGCUGUAAAUCAUUUGUACUUUACAUUUACUCUAGUUUCUUUUUUAAGAAAAUUAGUAACGAGUAUCUUCAUGUAUUUAUAUCACCGAUUUUUAUUUUUAAACUUUUUAAACUUAUAAUAGCUUUAUGAAUAUUUUACUUCUAAAUGUAAAGAUUUAUAAAAUCUUAUAAAAGAUUUAUAAACUCUUGAAAAAGAUUUAUUUUCUCUUACAAAUUGUGCGAUGAAGAUUAUUAAACUCUUAUAAUAUUUUUAUAAACCCUUAUAUACAGAUUUAUAAGCCUCUAUAAAAUGUUAUAAGACUUCAUAAAAUAAUUACCUUCAUAAACUCUUAUACACUGCAGUAGAUAUUUUAUAAAGUAUUACAAAUCUAUUUAUAAACCUAUAUGAAUCAAUUUAUACAUUCUUGUAAAUCAAAAUAAAAUAUCCUAAGUCUACUGAUUGCUUGAAGAGCUCAUCAACUUGGUGCUCCCCAAUCCGCCAUGGCUAUAUGAUGAUGAUGCCUUCUACUCCUCUUGCUUGGUGGUUUGAUUCAGCUGAAUUCACACUCAAAGAAGACUAUAACGACUUCUUUCUGAAUGUAUGUUUCUUAAUGUCUCAAGAAGCAUUCAUCCUUCAGAUUAAGUACUAGUAACAAGCAACUAUCUUUUAACAAUGCUUCAUUUCUUAAUAUACUUACAACGCUUUGUCAUACACUCUACACCUGAUUUCAUGAAAUAAAAGGUUGUAACACUUCAAAAUACCACCUGAUUCUUCUGAUAUGUUUUUUGGCUGAAUAGAUAUUUCUCUAACAGCUUAAAAAGACUCUCUAAACUAUUUAUAAAUUUUUUGAUAAAGUCUUAUAAAACCUUUAUAUUUUUUUGUAAACCCUAUACAAACUCUUCAAAACCCAUUAAAAUCUUUUAUAAACCCUUAUAAAUCUUUUUCUUGUCAACAUUCUUUUCAUUUAAGCCUCAUGGGCUGAAAUUGUGGGCACAAGUCUUUCGGCUUAGAGCCCAACACUUUGAUACACAAGAUUAAAUUCAUAAAAAUAAAGAACACGUGCAUGUUUUAUAAAGAGAUGAUGAUACGUGGCAGAUUCUGAGGCACAUGAGGACAGCGAACAAUGCUCCACCGCUUCAGACCCCACCGCUUCAGCUCCACGAACGAAGAAACCUCCUUUGUCGGACUUACAAAUCUUAUAUGUCUUUAUAAAUGGUUUAUAGACUCCUACAAAUAAUUUUACAUACCCUUAUAAAUUAUUUUAUAAUGGUGUAUCAAUUUUAUAAAUUAUUUUUAUAAACCCUUAUAAAAUAUUUAUAUACCUUUAUAAACCCUUAUAAACUAUUAUACAAACCAUUAUAAGUUGUUUUGUAAAGCUUUCUAAAUGGUUAUAGACUCUUUUAGUUGAUUUAUAAACCUAUACAACUCUUAUAAUACCCCUUAUAAAUUGAAUAUAUGCUUUCAUAACAUUUUUAUAAACUUUUAUAAAUAGUUUAUAAAUUGCUUUUAUAAACCCUUAUAAAUUAUUUACAUUCAUCAAUAAUCAUAGAUCUACCCCCAUUGGUUGAUCUGAGAAAGUGAACCAUAGAUCUUAGAAACUCUUACAAAUAAUUUAUAAAUAUUUAUAAAUCGCUUAUAAACUUACAAAAAUGUUUUAUAAACUUUUGUAAAUGAUUUAUAAACUCUUAUUUGCCCUUUAAAUUUCUUUUCUCUUCACUUUUAUCUUCUUUCAUGUGUUAUUGCUCUAUAUCAUAUACUGCAAAAAGUAAAUCCACAAAAUUUUGUUCCCAUUAACUUUUCUUCUUUUUAUAUCUUUGUUGAACUAAUUGUACAACACUGUCAAAAUAUAUGUCAUUAAGAUCUGGAUGCGUUGGGGUCACCAAAUGUUUGUAUUCCUUAGAGAAUCCAAACAUUGUAUUAACCAAAAGAUGUAACAAAUAACAAACAAGUUUUAUAAGUCUCCCAAAUCUCUAAUUUACAAAUUUAUAAACCCAUAUAAAACUACAUUUAUAAUCUUUUAUAAAAUGCUUCACAUUAUUGACCAAGACACCGAUUGGAUAAUCACUUUUGGAUUGUCUAGUGGAUCUGUUCCAGCUUCAUAAAUCCUCAGAGGAAUCACGAAGAUGUGCAAAAUUCAUUGCUAUCUAACUGCCUGACGAAAUAAAAAGAUAAUGUUAACUUUUAAUCGUGUAAAGAUACCUUAUCCAAGCAUAAUGUUCAUGUAUUUUGGUAACAGUCUUACAAAGAAUAUAGGAUAACACAACACAAGACUUCUCAUGUUCACACGUUUAUAUGUUGUUCUAUAGAUAUAUACGAUGAACUCUUGUUUAAAAACUUCUUUUAUAACACCUUGUAAAUCGUUGAGAUGUAUUAUCAGCAAUAUCCUAAAACCCAGAUUUAUAAGGGGUUAUAAUUCCUUAAUAUGAAGUGUACUAUUGGAAAAUACCUCUCUUAAAUCGACAUGUUCAAAUGAGAAGUCUGAAGCAUCAAUGAUAUGAACUUAAUAAAACGAUGAUAUGAACUUCUAAUCAUGGUCUAAGAUGGAUAAGCAUAGUGUUCAUGUAUUUCGACAAAAGUCUUACAAAUAAUAUAGGAUAACACAACAAAAGACUUCUUGAGUUCACACAUUUAUAUGUAUAGAUAUAUACAACUCUUGUUAAAAAUACUUCUUUUAUAGAACCCUGUAAAUCGUUGAGUUGCAUUAUCAACAAUAACCUAAAAUCUAGGUUUAUAAGGGGUUAUAAUUCUUUAAUAUGCAGUGUUUACUAUCGAUAAUCUCUCUCUUAGCCAGAACCCUUCAGAUGACAAAUCCAAAUUAACUGUAUUCUAUUUUUGGAUAACAGAAAGGAAAAAACCCUAAAAUUACUUAAAACCCAGAUUUAUAAAUGGUUCUAAGUUGCCAAACUCAAUAUUCACUAUCAAAACUGUUUCUUUUAGAUCAACAUGUUCAAAUGAGAAGUCUAAAGCAAUCUUGUUUGAUUGUUUCAUUGGAAACUUUUCCAGAAAUUAUAAGGAACCAAGAUAGACAGAACUGUCACUAAUCAGCCAAAAAAAAAAAACUAAAUCAACAUAUUUGGAAGAAAGAGAGAAGCAAAUUUAAAACGUCUUACUUUCAUAAUUCAUCGUAGAAAGAGCAAUUGAUACUAAAACACAAACUCGUUAAAGACAUACACGCUGAAUUUCAUGAAUACGACGACGGCGGGACUCGAUGAAG